rnacentral:rRNA from 1 species
GCAAGUCGAGGGGCAGCAUUACCUUCUUGUAGCUCGCUACCGGCGCACGGGCGCGUAACUCGUAUGUAACCUACCACUCACAUAGGGAUAGCCUCCAGAAAUAGCGAUUAAUACUUACUGGCAUCUAAGUCUUGCAUGAUAUAAGAUUAAAGAUUUAUCGGUGUUAGAUGGGCAUGCGUGAGAUUAGCUAGUUGGUGAGGUAACGGCUUACCAAGGCGACGAUGUCUAGGGGGUCUGAGAGGAUGACC